ACGCUGGCGGUAACUUUUAAACAUGCAAGUCGAGCGGUAACAGACAUAAAGAUUCAGCUUGCUGAAUCCGGUGCUGACGAGCGGCGAACGGGUGAGUAACGCGUAGGAAUCUACCCAGUAGCGGGGGAUAGCCCGAGGAAACUCGGAUUAAUACCGCAUACGCCCUGAGGGGGAAAGGGGGCAGUUUACUGCUCUCACUAUUGGAUGAGCCUGCGUAAGAUUAGCUUGUUGGUGGGGUAAUGGCCUACCAAGGCAACGAUCUUUAGCUGGUCUGAGAGGACGAUCAGCCACAUUGGGACUGAGACACGGCCCAGACAUCUACGGAUGGCAGCAGUUAAGAAUAUUGGACAAUGGGGGCAACCCUGAUCCAGGUAUACCGCGUGUGUGAAGAAGGCCCUAGGGUUGUAAAGCACUUUAAUCAGAGAAGAAGCAUUUUAAGUUAAUACCUUAUUAUGUUGACGUUACCUGAAGAAUAAGGACCGGC
rnacentral:rRNA from 1 species